AACGUAGGAUCCGAGCGUUAUCCGAAUUUACUGGGCGUAAAGCGCGUGUAGGCGGUUUGGUAAGUUGGAUGUGAAAGCUCCUGGCUCAACUGGGAGAGGCCGUUCAAAACUGCCAGACUAGAGGAUGGUAGAGGGAGGUGGAAUUCCGGGUGUAGUGGUGAAAUGCGUAGAUAUCCGGAGGAACACCAGUGGCGAAGGCGGCCUCCUGGGCCAUUCCUGACGCUCAGACGCGAAGGCUAGGGUAGCGAACGGG
rnacentral:rRNA from 1 species